ACACCGGCAGCUCUAGUGGUAGCUGUUUUUAUUGGGGCUAAAGCGGUCGUAGCCGGUUUGGUAAGUCACUGGUGAAAUCCUGUAGCUUGACGAUGGGAAUUGCUGGUGAUACUGUUGAACUUGAGGUCGGGAGAGGUUACUGGAACUCCCAGGGGAGAGGUGAAAUUCUGUAAUCCUGGUAGGACCACCUGUGGAGAAGGGGGCUAACUGGAACGAACCUGACGGUGAGGGACGAAAGCUUGGGGCGCGAACCGUAUUAGAUUCCCGGUUAGUCCUAGCCGUAAACGAUGCGGACUUGGUGUUGGGAUGGCUUUGAGCCGCUCCGGUGCCGAAGGGAAGCUUUUAAGUCCGCCGCCUGGGAAGUACGGUCGCAAGACUGAAACUUAAAUGAAUUGGCGGGG
rnacentral:rRNA from 1 species